rnacentral:rRNA from 1 species
UACGUAGGGACCAAGCGUUGUUCGGAUUUACUGGGCGUAAAGGGCGCGUAGGCGGCAAUUCAAGUCAGCUGUGAAAUCUCCGGGCUUAACUCGGAACGGUCAGCUGAUACUGCUUUGCUAGAGUGCAGAAGGGGCAAUCGGAAUUCUUGGUGUAGCGGUGAAAUGCGUAGAUAUCUGGAGGAACACCGGUGGCGAAGGCGGCAUCCUGGACCGGCAUUGACGCUGAGGAGCGAAAGCCAGGGGAGCAAACGGG